AGCGUACACGGUGGAUGCCCUGGCAGUCAGAGGCGAUGAAGGACGUGCUAAUCUGCGAUAAGCGUCGGUAAGGUGAUAUGAACCGUUAUAACCGGCGAUUUCCGAAUGGGGAAACCCAGUGUGUUUCGACACACUAUCAUUAACUGAAUCCAUAGGUUAAUGAGGCGAACCGGGGGAACUGAAACAUCUAAGUACCCCGAGGAAAAGAAAUCAACCGAGAUUCCCCCAGUAGCGGCGAGCGAACGGGGAGCAGCCCAGAGCCUGAAUCAGUGUGUGUGUUAGUGGAAGCGUCUGGAAAGGCGCGCGAUACAGGGUGACAGCCCCGUACACAAAAAUGCACAUGCUGUGAGCUCGAUGAGUAGGGCGGGACACGUGGUAUCCUGUCUGAAUAUGGGGGGACCAUCCUCCAAGGCUAAAUACUCCUGACUGACCGAUAGUGAACCAGUACCGUGAGGGAAAGGCGAAAAGAACCCCGGCGAGGGGAGUGAAAAAGAACCUGAAACCGUGUACGUACAAGCAGUGGGAGCACGCUUAGGCGUGUGACUGCGUACCUUUUGUAUAAUGGGUCAGCGACUUAUAUUCUGUAGCAAGGUUAACCGAAUAGGGGAGCCGAAGGGAAACCGAGUCUUAACUGGGCGUUAAGUUGCAGGGUAUAGACCCGAAACCCGGUGAUCUAGCCAUGGGCAGGUUGAAGGUUGGGUAACACUAACUGGAGGACCGAACCGACUAAUGUUGAAAAAUUAGCGGAUGACUUGUGGCUGGGGGUGAAAGGCCAAUCAAACCGGGAGAUAGCUGGUUCUCCCCGAAAGCUAUUUAGGUAGCGCCUCGUGAAUUCAUCUCCGGGGGUAGAGCACUGUUUCGGCAAGGGGGUCAUCCCGACUUACCAACCCGAUGCAAACUGCGAAUACCGGAGAAUGUUAUCACGGGAGACACACGGCGGGUGCUAACGUCCGUCGUGAAGAGGGAAACAACCCAGACCGCCAGCUAAGGUCCCAAAGUCAUGGUUAAGUGGGAAACGAUGUGGGAAGGCCCAGACAGCCAGGAUGUUGGCUUAGAAGCAGCCAUCAUUUAAAGAAAGCGUAAUAGCUCACUGGUCGAGUCGGCCUGCGCGGAAGAUGUAACGGGGCUAAACCAUGCACCGAAGCUGCGGCAGCGACGCUUAUGCGUUGUUGGGUAGGGGAGCGUUCUGUAAGCCUGCGAAGGUGUGCUGUGAGGCAUGCUGGAGGUAUCAGAAGUGCGAAUGCUGACAUAAGUAACGAUAAAGCGGGUGAAAAGCCCGCUCGCCGGAAGACCAAGGGUUCCUGUCCAACGUUAAUCGGGGCAGGGUGAGUCGACCCCUAAGGCGAGGCCGAAAGGCGUAGUCGAUGGGAAACAGGUUAAUAUUCCUGUACUUGGUGUUACUGCGAAGGGGGGACGGAGAAGGCUAUGUUGGCCGGGCGACGGUUGUCCCGGUUUAAGCGUGUAGGCUGGUUUUCCAGGCAAAUCCGGAAAAUCAAGGCUGAGGCGUGAUGACGAGGCACUACGGUGCUGAAGCAACAAAUGCCCUGCUUCCAGGAAAAGCCUCUAAGCAUCAGGUAACAUCAAAUCGUACCCCAAACCGACACAGGUGGUCAGGUAGAGAAUACCAAGGCGCUUGAGAGAACUCGGGUGAAGGAACUAGGCAAAAUGGUGCCGUAACUUCGGGAGAAGGCACGCUGAUAUGUAGGUGAAGUCCCUCGCGGAUGGAGCUGAAAUCAGUCGAAGAUACCAGCUGGCUGCAACUGUUUAUUAAAAACACAGCACUGUGCAAACACGAAAGUGGACGUAUACGGUGUGACGCCUGCCCGGUGCCGGAAGGUUAAUUGAUGGGGUUAGCCGCAAGGCGAAGCUCUUGAUCGAAGCCCCGGUAAACGGCGGCCGUAACUAUAACGGUCCUAAGGUAGCGAAAUUCCUUGUCGGGUAAGUUCCGACCUGCACGAAUGGCGUAAUGAUGGCCAGGCUGUCUCCACCCGAGACUCAGUGAAAUUGAACUCGCUGUGAAGAUGCAGUGUACCCGCGGCAAGACGGAAAGACCCCGUGAACCUUUACUAUAGCUUGACACUGAACAUUGAGCCUUGAUGUGUAGGAUAGGUGGGAGGCUUAGAAGUGUGGACGCCAGUCUGCAUGGAGCCGACCUUGAAAUACCACCCUUUAAUGUUUGAUGUUCUAACGUUGACCCGUAAUCCGGGUUGCGGACAGUGUCUGGUGGGUAGUUUGACUGGGGCGGUCUCCUCCUAAAGAGUAACGGAGGAGCACGAAGGUUGGCUAAUCCUGGUCGGACAUCAGGAGGUUAGUGCAAUGGCAUAAGCCAGCUUGACUGCGAGCGUGACGGCGCGAGCAGGUGCGAAAGCAGGUCAUAGUGAUCCGGUGGUUCUGAAUGGAAGGGCCAUCGCUCAACGGAUAAAAGGUACUCCGGGGAUAACAGGCUGAUACCGCCCAAGAGUUCAUAUCGACGGCGGUGUUUGGCACCUCGAUGUCGGCUCAUCACAUCCUGGGGCUGAAGUAGGUCCCAAGGGUAUGGCUGUUCGCCAUUUAAAGUGGUACGCGAGCUGGGUUUAGAACGUCGUGAGACAGUUCGGUCCCUAUCUGCCGUGGGCGCUGGAGAACUGAGGGGGGCUGCUCCUAGUACGAGAGGACCGGAGUGGACGCAUCACUGGUGUUCGGGUUGUCAUGCCAAUGGCACUGCCCGGUAGCUAAAUGCGGAAGAGAUAAGUGCUGAAAGCAUCUAAGCACGAAACUUGCCCCGAGAUGAGUUCUCCCUGACUCCUUGA
rnacentral:rRNA from 1 species